rnacentral:rRNA from 1 species
UACGAAGGGGGCUAGCGUUGCUCGGAAUCACUGGGCGUAAAGCGCACGUAGGCGGAUCUUUAAGUCAGGGGUGAAAUCCUGGAGCUCAACUCCAGAACUGCCUUUGAUACUGGGGAUCUCGAGUCCGGAAGAGGUGAGUGGAACUCCGAGUGUAGAGGUGAAAUUCGUAGAUAUUCGGAAGAACACCAGUGGCGAAGGCGGCUCACUGGUCCGGUACUGACGCUAAGGUGCGAAAGCGUGGGGAGCAAACAGG